rnacentral:tRNA from 1 species
ACGCCAGUAGCUCAAUUGGUAGAGUAGCGGUCUCCAAAACCGGUUCGAGUCCCUCCUGGCGUG